GGCUGAGUGGAAACGGAUAGAGUUGACGUAUCUAGCGCGUAUUCAGUUGGUGCUUGCGGCUAACGGCUGCGAGUGAGCGUCGUCUCGGCGGCGUUUGCUUGCGGUCGGUUGGUUGUGAGUGCUGAUGCAUUUGCGUGCUAUUGUGCGCCGGGGUGGGUGCGCUGGUCGUUUGCUGCUUGAACACGAGGAUGCAUGCUUCGGCAUGUAAAACCGGGUUCUUGUUUGCGGGCGGUUCGGUGUGCUCGCGUUCUGCGGCUCGUUCGUGUGGCGGUUUGUCAUGUUUGUGGCGUAUGGCGGUUGCUUGCAACACGUGUACGCCGUAGACUUGGUGGCUGUCGCAUUCGCGGGUCUCUCCCGGUGUAAAUGUCGAUCAUCUAUCCGACCCGUCUUGAAACACGGACCAAGGAGUUUAACGUAUGCGCGAGUCAUUGGGUGUUAAAACCUAAAGGCGUAAUGAAAGUGAUUUUUACGCGACCCUAUGCACUUCGGUGUAGCAGGAGCAGCGUAGCCCCGUUCUGAUCGCUUGCGAUAGGGCGGAGGAUGAGCGUAUGCGUUGAGACCCGAAAGAUGGUGAACUAUGCUUGAGCAGGACGAAGUCAGAGGAAACUCUGAUGGAAGUCCGAAUC
rnacentral:rRNA from 1 species